AUUGAACGCUGGCGGCAUGCUUUACACAUGCAAGUCGAACGGUAACAGGCCGCAAGGUGCUGACGAGUGGCGAACGGGUGAGUAAUGCAUCGGAACGUGCCCAGUCGUGGGGGAUAACGCAGCGAAAGCUGCGCUAAUACCGCAUACGAUCUAUGGAUGAAAGCGGGGGACCGUAAGGCCUCGCGCGAUUGGAGCGGCCGAUGUCAGAUUAGGUAGUUGGUGGGGUAAAGGCUCACCAAGCCGACGAUCUGUAGCUGGUCUGAGAGGACGACCGGCCACACUGGGACGGAGACACGGCACAGACUCCGACGGGAGGCAGCAGUGGGGAAUUUUGGACAAUGGGCGCAAGCCUGAUCCAGCAAUGCCGCGUGCAGGAAGAAGGCCUUCGGGUUGUAAACUGCUUUUGUACGGAACGAAAAGGCUCCUUCUAAUAAAGGGGGUCCAUGACGUACCGUAAGAAUAAGCACCGGCUAACUACGUGCCAGCAGCCGCCGUAAGAC
rnacentral:rRNA from 1 species